rnacentral:rRNA from 2 species
UACCAGCACCCCGAGUGGUCGGGACGAUUAUUGGGCCUAAAGCAUCCGUAGCCGGUUUUACAAGUCCUCCGUUAAAUCCACCUGCUUAACAGAUGGGCUGCGGAGGAUACUACAAGGCUAGGAGGCGGAAGAGGCAAGCGGUACUCAGUGGGUAGGGGUAAAAUCCUCUGAUCCAUUGAAGACCACCAGUGGCGAAGGCGGCUUGCCAAUACGCGCUCGACGGUGAGGGAUGAAAGCUGGGGGAGCAAACCGG